rnacentral:rRNA from 1 species
GACGUAGGGCGCGAGCGUUUGUCCGGAUUUAUUGGGCGUAAAGAGCUCGUAGGCGGCUUGUCGCGUCGACUGUGAAAACCCGAGGCUCAACUUCGGGCUUGCAGUCGAUACGGGCAGGCUUGAGUUCGGUAGGGGGAGACUGGAAUUCCUGGUGUAGCGGUGAAAUGCGCAGAUAUCAGGAGGAACACCGGUGGCGAAGGCGGCUCUCUGGGACGGUACUGAGCUGAGACGCGAAAGCGUGGGGAGCGAACAGG